UGGCCAUUAGGUAAAGAUCACGUAGACCCUAUAGGGGAGUCUUGAAUAAGACCUUUCCUCAAUUAAAAUCUAGAAACCAACCAAAUGAUGACAUGCGACCCUUUUUUUAAUUAAAAUAAAUUUAAAAAAAUAAAAUGAAAAAAACAAGGAUAGAGAGGAAGAGUCAAAAUCAUUUCUUCCCAAAAUCAUUUCUUCUUUCUCUUGAUAC
rnacentral:lncRNA from 1 species